UGACCAUCAGACAUAGGUGCCACUAUACCUAUGUCUGGAGCUGGACCAUGCUGUAAAUGGCUGGUCUGAAAGACAUUAGUGGGUACGUUAUGAGCAGUCCUCCGGUCGUGAUAUCUAUCAAAUCGAACGGGACCAACUGUCUAACUCAUAUGGAGACCUGCUUUCUAAUGCUAGCUAUCAAAA
rnacentral:misc_RNA from 1 species